rnacentral:lncRNA from 1 species
GAGGAGCAUGCCAGAGGAAGACAGGAUGAAGUGAAGAGGCUGCAGUGGGGAGAUCUAGAAGCAUUGGAGCCAUAAAGGGGGAUGAAAUGACAGCAGACCUCUUACGGAGUGCUGAUGACUGAAAGAAAGUGAGUUAAGACUGUCCUCUGUUUGCCGCGCCCAUGCAACUGGGACUGGAAACCAUGGAGGUUCUGUGUAAGUUGUGCAUCUGAAGAAGUCAUUUCACUUCUGGAUGCUACCGCGGCAGGCGGACAAGCACACUAGAUAAUAAUGAGGUGGGACACUCAGAACUGAGCCACACUGUGAUACUGAAGUCAUUAAUGAAGUGAAGAUGUUUAGUCAGAACUGCUGCAGACAUUCAAGAUAUAAGAGUUAUCUUCAAACACUUGACAGCGGUCCCUAGAGAAUAAAAUUAAACUCUUACAAGAUGACAGAACCAUCAUCUGAAAGAACACGGAAACAAUCUGAGUUACAUUCAGGCCUCUAGAUACUAAAACCUUCUGAAACACCAGAAGCGUCAAAAUGUUCCCCUGUGGAACUGUAAGUAUAGCUUCAUUUGGUCUCAGGUUGAGCCAUUACCUUUAAGGAAGUUCUAUUUAUUACUGACAACUUCAGUCAUCUUUUUCUGAAACU